UUCAGCAUCUCGGACGGAAGAUGGCGUCCGCCACCCGUCUCAUCCAGCGGCUGCGGAACUGGGCAUCUGGGCAAGACCUGCAGGGGAAGCUGCAGCUGCGCUACCAGGAGAUCUCCAAGCGAACUCAGCCUCCUCCCAAGCUCCCUGUGGGUCCUAACCACAAGCUCUCCAAUAAUUACUAUUGCACUCGUGAUGGCCGUCGGGAAUCUGUGCCCCCUUCCAUCAUCAUGUCCUCGCAGAAGGCGCUGGUGUCAGGCAAGCCAGCAGAGAGCUCUGCUGUAGCAGCCACUGAGAAGAAGGCGGUGACUCCAGCUCCUCCCAUGAAGAGGUGGGAGCUGUCCUCGGACCAGCCUUACCUGUGACACCGCGCCCUCAGGGCCACCUGACUACUUUGCCUCCUUGGUUUCCCUCCAGGGAGAAUGUGACCUAAUUUAUGAUGAAUACAUAGAGCGCGGCCGCGGGCGCAGCGGGACUCGGGGGCUUGGGCCCCGCCUCCGCCCCGCGCGUGCGCGUGCGCAGGGAUAAGAGCGAGGUCUGGACGGCGCGUGGCCGGCGCAGCUGCGGGGACAGCUCGACC